GGAAGUUUUCGGAUGGAAGCGGAUAUGACUUAGCGGCGGACGGGUGAGUAACGCGUGGAUAACCUGCCUCAUACAGGGGGAUAACAGUUAGAAAUGACUGCUAAUACCGCAUAAGCGCACAGGACCGCAUGGUCCGGUGUGAAAAACUCCGGUGGUAUGGGAUGGAUCCGCGUCUGAUUAGCUGGUUGGUGAGGUAACGGCCCACCAAGGCGACGAUCAGUAGCCGACCUGAGAGGGUGGCCGGCCACAUUGGGACUGAGACACGGCCCAAACUCCUACGGGAGGCAGCAGUGGGGAAUAUUGCACAAUGGGGGAAACCCUGAUGCAGCAACGCCGCGUGAGUGAAGAAGUAUUUCGGUAUGUAAAGCUCUAUCAGCAGGGAAGAAGAAAGACGGUACCUGACUAAGAAGCCCCGGCUAACUACGUGCCAGCAGCCGCGGUAAUACGUAGGGGGCAAGCGUUAUCCGGAUUUACUGGGUGUAAAGGGAGCGUAGACGGCUGUGCAAGUCUGAAGUGAAAGCCCGUGGCUCAACCGCGGAACUGCUUUGGAAACUGUAUAGCUUGAGUACUGGAGAGGCAGGCGGAAUUCCUAGUGUAGCGGUGAAAUGCGUAGAUAUUAGGAGGAACACCAGUGGCGAAGGCGGCCUGCUGGACAGAAACUGACGUUGAGGCUCGAAAGCGUGGGGAGCAAACAGGAUUAGAUACCCUGGUAGUCCACGCGGUAAACGAUGAAUGCUAGGUGUUGG
rnacentral:rRNA from 1 species